AGAGUUUGAUCAUGGCUCAGGAUCAACGCUGGCGGCGUGCAUGAGACAUGCAAGUCAAACGGGUGACUCGGGCUUGCUCGAGUCACUAGUGGCGGACGGCUGAGUAACGCGUGGGUGACCUGCCCCGAAGUGGGGAAUAACUGCCCGAAAGGGUGGCUAAUACCGCAUGUGGUGGUGCGUUCAAUUGCACCAGUAAAGCCGCAAGGCGCUUCGGGAGGGGCCUGCGUCCGAUUAGCUCGUUGGUGGGGUAACGGCUCACCAAGGCGACGAUCGGUAGGUGGUCUGAGAGGACGAUCACCCAGACUGGGACUGAGACACGGCCCAGACUCCUACGGGAGGCAGCAGUCGGGAAUUUUGCGCAAUGGACGAAAGUCUGACGCAGCAACGCCGCGUGAGGGAUGAAGGCCUUCGGGUUGUAAACCUCUUUUCUCAGGGAAGAUAAUGACGGUACCUGAGGAAUAAGCCACGGCUAACUACGUGCCAGCAGCCGCGGUAAUACGUAGGUGGCGAGCGUUGUCCGGAUUUACUGGGCGUAAAGAGCGCGCAGGCGGUCGUGCAAGUCGCGUGUGAAAGCCCCCGGCUCAACUGGGGAGGGUCACGCGAUACUGCUCGACUCGAAGGCAGGAGAGGGAAGUGGAAUUCCCGGUGUAGUGGUGAAAUGCGUAGAUAUCGGGAGGAACACCAGUGGCGAAGGCGACUUCCUGGCCUGUUCUUGACGCUGAGGCGCGAAAGCUAGGGUAGCAAACGGGAUUAGAUACCCUAGUAGUCC
rnacentral:rRNA from 1 species